GAAUAUACUAAAAAGUAAAACCUAAACCUAAACCUAAUUCACUAAAAGUUAUUCCUCAAAUCUCAUCGCCGCACAGCUCAUUCCUGCACCUCAAAUCUCAUCCUCAACCUCAAAUCUCAAAUCUCAUCGCCGCACAGCUCAAAUCUCCUCCUCAACCUCAUUCCUCAAAUCAGCGCCGCACAGCUCCCUCCUGCACCUAAACCUCGUCGCCCCACCCCCGCCGCAGAUCUGCGCCUGCACCGCGCCGCGCCGCCUGCAUCUGCACCGCGCCGCGUCGCCGCAUACCUCUGCAUCGCCGCCUGCUCCAGAGAUUGCACCGCGCCACAUCGCCGCCUGCAUCUGCACCGGUCGCCGCACCUGCAUCUGCAUCGCCGCCUGCUGCUCCAACUUCUGCAUAUCUAUCUUGAGAGAGAGAGGGAGAAAUGGGUCAGGGGAAUCUCCUCUGCAUAUCGCUGCCGCUAACGGCCAGAUCGAGAUUCUCUCGUUGCUUCUCGACUGAUCCGUGAAGCCGGAUGUGUUGAAUCGGCAUAAACAGAAUGCAGUUAAUGGCCAAUUCAAAUCUAAUAGAAAAUACUCCUCAAGUAGAUGAGAUUACGGUGGAAGUGAAUGAUGUGGAGAAAGAAGUUGUGGAUUGAAGAGGUGUUUGCAAAAGAAGCUUCACGUUAAGUUACAAGCUUGAAGGAAGAUUGAAUGCUUGACAUUUGUUCUAGUAUCAUGUUAUUUUGAUGUAUUUGAAACUUUUCAUGAUGUAUGUUUCUACAUGGAUAUUGUUUAUUUCACAAUAUUUUGAAUUUGUGGCUUA